rnacentral:misc_RNA from 1 species
GAGUCCAGUAGCGCCCCGAGCCGAGCUAGCGCUAGCGGCCGAACCCAGACAGCCCAGCCCAGCCAGCAGGCAGCUCAGCCCGCGCUGGCAGUCAGGUCUGAGCACUGGGGCCGCGUUGUGCUGUGAGGAUAUUGCUGUGCUCCUUGCUCCUGCUCCUGCUGCUGCAACGCAUAGCCUGGCGUGGCGAAGCCUGCUGGCCCUGGCUCAGCUGUGCAAGCCCAGCUAGCUGCUUUGACCACCACUUCCACCGCUUCGUCACCACCCUGCUGCUUCCUCCACCGCGGCUGCUACGUCGACGAGGAUAACCGCGUCGCCGCGUUGAGAAAUAGACUUCUCUAGUGCUAACGAAAGGUCUCGCUCGGUGAGCACACACGCGACGGGGGUGUGGCAUUCCACCAUCGCUUCCCAGCCAAACUGAAAAGCUGGCGAGCAGCGGCGCGCUGAGCGAGUUUGCGGAGCCCCCGCUGCCCCCGCCCCCGCAGCCCGCCGCGCCCUCUCCAGGACCUCCAGGACCUCCAGGAGGGCCGUCUGCAAUCUCGGCGCCGCCCGCGAUGGCCAUGGUCAACAUGAACAGCCUCCUGAACGGCAAGGACUCGCGCUGGCUGCAGCUGGAGGUGUGCCGAGAGUUCCAGCGCAACAAGUGCUCGCGCCCGGACACCGAGUGCAAGUUCGCGCACCCGCCCGCCAACGUGGAGGUGCAGAACGGCCGAGUCACCGCCUGCUACGACAGCAUCAAGGGCCGGUGUAACCGCGAGAAGCCGCCGUGCAAGUACUUCCACCCUCCCCAGCACCUCAAGGACCAGCUCCUCAUAAACGGCCGCAACCACCUCGCCCUCAAGAACGCCUUAAUGCAGCAGAUGGGCCUCUCGCCUGGGCAGCCCAUGGUUGCCGGUCAAGUGCCAACAGUCGCAACGAAUCCUUAUUUGACGAGCAUGCCCCAGGUUGGCGGCACAUUCAGUCCAUACUUCACACACGCAGGACCUAUCAUGCCAACGGCCAUCAUGGGUCCAGACCCUGCUGGAGUAACGUCACCUCUUGGCAUGGUGCAACAGACUGUUGUGACACAACAGAAAAUGCCACGGUCAGACCGCCUUGAGGUCUGUCGAGAAUUCCAGCGCGGCGCGUGCAAGCGUGCUGAGUGCGAGUGCCGUUUCGCGCACCCGCCAGAAGCCGUGACGGCCUCCGAGGACGGAACAGUCACGGUCUGCAUGGAUGCCGUGAAGGGGCGCUGCAGCCGCGACCCUUGCCGCUAUUUCCACCCCCCUCUGCACCUCCAAGCCUAUAUCAAGGCUGCACAAGCGCGCCCCACCGCGCCUGGAGUCGCCAUGUCAAAUGUAGGCGCUCCACAGGAUGUGGGCAAGAAGCGCUCUCGUGACCCAAGCGAUGACAUGAUAAUGGCCUUCCCCGGAAUGGUGCCUUACAAGCGGCCGGCGGCGGACAAGUCUGGCCUCCCCAUGUACCAGCCCAACACGACGUAUCAGCAGCUGAUGCAGCUGCAGCAGCCGUUCGUGCCCGUAUCAUUUACUGGACACCCUCCCGGUGUGCCAAGAUUUUAAUCGGCAGCUUUGCAAUCGAAUGACUUGCAAAUUUGUUCAUCUUCAGGAAGGCUGUGGUGUGGAGGUGCGGGAAAUGAGGGUCACAGUGUGUCGUGACGCAGCCAGGGGUCAGUGCAGCCGUCGGCAAUGCAAGUUUUACCAUAUACCCAUUGCAUUGCCUCCAGCGAGCCACAUGCAGACAUGUGUGAAUCCCUAACACUCAAAGCCUCAUGAAUGAUAAGUUUAAACUAGUUCAUGUGUUUUUGCCUGCCUUCCCACCCAUCCUACUGACCACCAAACUGUUUUGUUUUGUUCAUGAUAAUUGUUUGUUUUGUUGUUUAUAAAACAAGAUUUUUGUUCCAAGGGUAUGUUCUUUACUAUUAUUAUUAUUAUUAUGGUUAUUACAAUUAUUACUAUUAUUAUCCUACCUAAACUGGUCAUGCAAUGACUCACUAUAUUAUAUAUAAAUAUAUAUAUGAAUAUAUAUAUUUUUUUGUUUUAUGUUUUAGUUAUGAUUGAUUUUUAAGAAAGAAAAGUAUCUCUCUAUAUGCAAUGAGAACAUAAAUGUGAAUGAUAUUACCCCUAGUUUGUUUGAGACUUGUGCAUGUUAUUUAUUGUAGCACAUCUAGAAAAACUAUUGAUCUAGUUUUGUAUUUUAUCAUAUUUAAAGAGAAGGUCUUUUUUUUCCUGUUUCUUUGUCACUAAGCAGUUGCCAGCUGGCAGGUUGUAAUCUCUUCUCUGUAUCCAUUCACUCAAAUCUCGUAAAAGACAAUGAUGGUAUAUUGUAUCUUGAAGUAUCUGUAUCACAACUGGAAAGUCAUAUAUUAUUACAUUACUUACUUCGAUAUGUUUGCCUUAGGUAUAAUCAAGCUUGAUGGAAAGUUCUGAACUGAUUAAGAUUUUUACUCUUAACAUGCACACAAGGGCAGAUGCCAAGCCUAGUUCUCAUUGCAUUACUUAACCGUUGAGGGGUUAGUUCUCUAUUCAGUGAAAAUGUGUCGUGAAAUAUUUAGUGAGUGAAAGAAUGGAUCAAACUGCCAUUCACAGAAAAUGAGAGGUUUCUAAUUGUUUUUGCCAUGUUAUCUUGAUAUUUGUAUCAUAAUGAAAAUAGAGAGUUGUGUUCUCUUCUUUUUAUAUAUAUAAAUAUAUAUGUUUUGUUUUAAAAAUAUCUUUCAUUUGGGCUUGUGGAAGUUUAAAAAAAAUACAGCACUUUAGGUAUUAAGGAGUUUAUUUGACCAUCAAUCUGUUAUAUCUUAUGUGGUUCUUUGUCUGGGAAGGAACCAAGACCGAUGGAGAUGAAACCAUCGGUUUGGAUACAUCUCACUGUGCAACGAUUUGGCAGAAUCUUUUUCUGCUCACUACAUCAUUACAUCCAAAUUGUUACUGUUAGGUGUUGAUUUUUGCCGUCUUAAAGUAUGUCCUUAAAGAAACGAAUUUUAAGAGAAAAAUGAAAAUGUUUUUAUUUCUUAGGAAGGAAAACUUUUUCUCAUAUUUAUGAUGUUGCAACAGUGGAGUUUCUGUCAAGCGUCGCCAGAAAGUGAUCUUGGUUCUAGUCAAUUGAAAGUGUGAGGGCAGGCUGUACAGAGUAGACAUUAAGAACUAAAGAACAAACAAACAAACAAACCAUGGUACUGACCAACUUGUAAAUUGAAGACUAUAGGUAGCUCUCUUAAUGUGGUAUCAACCUGUUGACUGCCUGCACCUUCCUUGCAGAUUUUACCUCUCAGACGUCACAAAAAAAAGUGCCACAUUAUUUCCCCUUUUGCUUUAUUUUAAGGAGAACAAAGUGUCUUUUAUAUGUCUCAUUUUGUUUCUGAUUUACGAGUGGUCGUUGAAAAUUUAAGUGGUUUGCGCUGAUGUGCAACAAAGCACUAUUUACCAAAACAUUCUGUAUGUGAUUUCUCACAUACCUUUUGAUUUCAUUUCAUUGUAUCCUUCCAGAACUUAGUAUGCGUACAUCUACGCAUCUUUUCCCAAAGUGAUAAGCCAUGUAUUUGCCCUAUGAAAAGGCACCGACAGUGAUAAAUAGUAACACUUAUACACAAUAAAGGUUUGUUGUUGAUGUGAAUGUGAUAUCCUGUACUGGACAUUGAGGUAUGUAUUUUUAUCUAUACUGUUUCAAGAUAAGUGUAUGAGAAAAAGUUAAUCCUUUUUGUUUUCUUCUUUGUCAAACAUCCAAUGUAAAACACUAUUUCUUUCAUCCUUAUUAAAUUUGUAUAAAGCUACUUAGCCUAUUACAAACCUAAUAAUGAAGUCAUUUUAUGUUUGUAUGUAUGUAUUUCUCUUUGAAAUUGCUGGGUUUGGAGUCAAACUAUAUGUUGGGUGCAGAGACUAAACAAUUGAUCGCCAUGACGACAUGUUAGGGAUGCGAGUCAAGAGGUGGCAGGCAAUACAACAGUGACCUAGCUUUAUGCCUUCCCUCCUUCCCUGGUUAGUUUAGACUCACUGUCCUUUGCCAUUACCACCUCACCCAUUAUCAGGACGUUUAACCCUCAUCUGGUGAACUGUUAGUAUUAAAGUUUGACACUGCUGUUUCUUCAUAACUGCUUGUUGUCAUCACCCCAUUACAUUCACACGUUGUGUGUUACUUCUAUCCAUCUGCUCUCACAUUCAACUGCAAUCCUCUUGGAAUGUGACAAUGGCCCAUAAAUAAUAUGGUUUUUAUGAAUAUUGUUAAUAUUAUAAUUACAUUAUAUGUAAUCAGUAACAAAGUAAUCUGGCCCUAGAAGUGACUAAACACAGUUCUCAAGUCGAAUGCUCAGGCAAUCUAGCAUUCCUACAAUAAUAUGGGAUUCCGAAUGUUAUGGCCUAAAAUACUAUCUGUGGUUGUGAGUGAAUGUGUGCAUGGUGCAUGAAGGGCUCACUGCAACCAGGGAGCUUCUAGUGGGCCAUUGCUGAGCCAUUACUCUAGCAAAAAGCUUGACUGGACACCCUGCGCGCUGGGUCAUGCAGGCAACAAGAAAGAAAUAGGUUUAGCUUGGAUGCUUAUUCCCAUGGUUAACAAAAUAUAUGGAUUCUACCCUGUCCAUUUCUAUUGUAUCUAACUGAGAAUGUGCUUAGCUUGUACUCUUACAUUAUGAUAGCUUAUCCUGCAUGUUUCUAUUAGUAUACGCAUACUCCCAUUGUAGCUGGUACAUUAGGUCCAUAUUUUGAUGUUAGUUGAAUCUCACUGUUGUGGGCUGGACGGACAGCAAGCAGUUAGGACAAAACAUUUAAUGCCAGUCUUUUAUUGACUGUUUUCCUGGGGAUCAUAAGAUAUUUACUAACAUCACUUUACGCGAGAUCUUCACUAGCCAUGUCAUUUUAAUAAUAAUGGCGAACCUGAUUUAUGGUUGCCUGCUUCAUACAAGAUCCCCUAACAGCGCAUUUGCCAGUCUAAGCUCUGCUUCCAACUGGUGUAUUUGCUGAACUGCUGCUGCUCCCGUUGCUUCUGUUGCUUUGAGCUGUUCAGGUACAGAAAUAUCACAUUUUUAAAAGUGUUUGUAAAUACUGUUGAGGAAAGUAUUUAGAGUUUCUUUGGUUGUGCAUUUUCAAUCAUGUCUUUCUUCAAUUCAUAGUAAUGGAAAAAGUCAUGCUUUGCUUGAUCUGCAGUUAUAGCUUAGCUAGCAAUCUUUUUAGAGACGUUAUCUUCAAUUAUUUGAAAUAAUUAGACUUUCGUCUCCCUAAAAUUUUCUCUGGAAUCUUGCUUUUAGCUUCUCUGCCCAUGUCAAUGGUCAUCUACAACCUCUAUUGUCAAUAUUUCUGGCUUACUGUAUGACAUCAGCGUAACUUUCCAUGGGUAAAAUUAGUGUUUUCAAUAUUGUCAUUGUUCCAUUUAGAAAUUUGUAUAAACUUUUAGUGAUUGCUUGUGUUGACUUUUGUUUUGUUAUGGCUUGGGAAACUUCCUUACGCCUUCUAAUAAUGUUAAACUAAUUUUGCCAGAAAGUGUUGAUGCAAUUAGCUUUGAUUCUUACCCAUGGACUGUGUUGUCAUCUGGUGCUGCCGGCGUGUGCUAAGCGCAGAAAGCUGCAUAGGUCAUGCACAUAAAAUGCGAUGCUUAUGCCCCUCCAACUUGAAUGCCUUGCAUUCCAACUUACAUUCACUUCAUGUAAGCAUCUGUUUGUCUCCUUAAUGGUUGGGCUGCUAGGGUGUGUUGGGGCUGGCUUGCUUCACACUUCUUGCUUAUUUCUUGAAAGUGCAUAGCCAUGCCAAAAAGCCAUGCUAAGCAUUACAAAUGGUUUUUGAUUUUACGUACAAACCCUUUGUUUAUUAACUAACUAAAUUGAACUGUCUAAAACUUUUCCUUAAACUUUAAUGGUUGUGUGGUGCGAAAGUUUAAAUGUGCCUUUCCCAGCCCCUUCCCCGUCCCAAGAAUACCGUUCAGGAGACUGUUUGCAGGAAGUGAUCUGAAGCGGCUACUAGUGUGGGUCGCUCCUUUUGCUGUGCAGAACCGCACAGUAACAAACCCUGGACUCUCUGCCGUAGGCUGGCCCUGGCCCAGUGCUCUGGCCCAGUGCCAGUAAAACUAGUUGAAUAUAUUUUUGAAAGACCAGAUGUGUGACGUGAGCCAAAGCACGCCACGCCCGUGAUCCUGCAGUUAACAUGACAGUGGCUCAGUAUUUUCUCAUUUUAUCAAUUUUGUGAUAUUUUUAGUAAUGGAUGAUUGUUAUUUAAGUCUCACUAAAAUAACCAAUACUUGUACCUUGUUAUGUUAUUGUUAGGGAUUUACUUUUACAAUAUUAAAGAUUUGAUUAUUCAGGAACGAGGAGAAGCCAGAAUGGUGGGUGUGAGACUGUUUUAUUUUUGAAAUAAUUAAACAUAUUAUAGUAUCUAUAUUAUGAAAUAAUAUUGCUAUAAGAAAAUAUACUAUGAGUACAUAUGUGUGAGGAAGUUAUGUGUGUUUGGUCGGUUUUCUCCUUGUUGUUGAAUAACUUAUCACAAGAAACUACAUUUUAGUAAGUGUGUGACUUAUGUCAUACCAGGACACAGUGAGUAGAGCCAGUUAGGAGAGGCCUGUCAGUCGUUUUUCUUUAUCCUUGUGUCUUUUAAAUUAGGUCUCUUUCUUCCCCUAUUUUUUCUUUUUCUGAUGUUGAUUCCUUAGAGAAGUGUUAAGCUCCAUGUUAAAUUUCAGAAAACCCUCUGAGAGGGGGGUGCCUACUGCCUCCUGGCACACCCACUGUGUUUCUAUUCGUGUUGAAUGAGAAUAUAAUAACAAGAUAGAAGUGAUGUAAUGGGAUUGCAAAAAGCAAAACUUUUGCAAAACCUCCCUUCUUUUUUUUUCCUGAGUAAAGUAGAUAAUAAACAAUGCAAAAAAAGAGAUGAAAUGGA